rnacentral:rRNA from 1 species
GACGAACGCUGGCGGCGUGCUUAACACAUGCAAGUCGAACGGAAAGGCCCUGCUUUUGUGGGGUGCUCGAGUGGCGAACGGGUGAGUAACACGUGAGUAACCUGCCCUUGACUUUGGGAUAACUUCAGGAAACUGGGGCUAAUACCGGAUAGGAGCUCCUGCUGCAUGGUGGGGGUUGGAAAGUUUCGGCGGUUGGGGAUGGACUCGCGGCUUAUCAGCUUGUUGGUGGGGUAGUGGCUUACCAAGGCUUUGACGGGUAGCCGGCCUGAGAGGGUGACCGGCCACAGGGGGACUGAGAUACGGCCCAGACUCCUACGGGAGGCAGCAGUGGGGAAUAUUGCACAAUGGGCGGAAGCCUGAUGCAGCAACGCCGCGUGCGGGAUGACGGCCUUCGGGUUGUAAACCGCUUUCGCCUGUGACGAAGCGUGAGUGACGGUAAUGGGUAAAGAAGCACCGGCUAACUACGUG